CCCGUGCCCAGAGCCCGCUUCCCACCCUCACCUCCUUGCCCUCUCUGUCUGGGGUGAGGGUGUGUCCCGCAGCGGGACACACGGCGGGGCAGAGGGUGCUGCUGGUGCUCUUGUGGCGAGAGUGGCCCUUUCGGGGCCCGGCCUUGGUGGGGCUCAGCAGCUGGGGGUGAAGCUCGCGGUUGGGAGAGGCUGGUGUGGACGUGAUGACCAGCGUCUUCAAGGCUGUCACCUCUGCCUGCAGCAUGUCGAUCUUGCCCCGAGCCUCCUUCAGCUGCUUUUCUGAUGCCGCCUGCUUCAUGUUGGCUUCUCG
rnacentral:lncRNA from 1 species